GGGUUGAUAUUCCCGUACCCGUAUAAGCGCGCCCAUGGUGAAUCAGUGAUACUAACUGUCCAGAAGCUGCUGUUUUCUCUUUUUAAGGAGAUGGUUGUGGAUGCACAGGACCUGAUCUGGUAGUAGCCAAGCGAUGGGGUGACGCAGGAAGGUAGCUGUGCCAGGUAGUGGAUUGCCUGGUGUAAGCGUGUAGGGUGACAGGUUGGUAAAUCCGCUUGUUGUGUACCUGAGACGUGAUGCGUAGCCAUUGUGGUGAAGUUAGUGAUCCUAUGCUGCCGAGAAAAGCCUCUAGUGAGUUCUUAUGCGGCCCGUACCCUAAACCGACACAGGUGGUCAGGUAGAGAAUACUAAGGAGUUCGAGAGAACUGUGGUUAAGGAAUUCGGCAAAAUGCCCCCGUAACUUUGGAAGAAGGGGGACCGAUGUUGGUG
rnacentral:rRNA from 1 species